rnacentral:rRNA from 1 species
CACGUAGGGCGCAAGCGUUGUCCGGAAUUAUUGGGCGUAAAGAGCUCGUAGGCGGUUUGUCGCGUCUGCCGUGAAAGUCCGGGGCUCAACUCCGGAUCUGCGGUGGGUACGGGCAGACUAGAGUGAUGUAGGGGAGACUGGAAUUCCUGGUGUAGCGGUGAAAAUGCGCAGAUAUCAGGAGGAACACCGAUGGCGAAGGCAGGUCUCUGGGCAUUAACUGACGCUGAGGAGCGAAAGCAUGGGGAGCGAACAGG